rnacentral:rRNA from 1 species
AACGAACGUUGGCGGCAGGCUUAACACAUGCAAGUCGAACGCCCCGCAAGGGGAGUGGCAGACGGGUGAGUAGUGCGUGGGAACAUACCCUUUUCUACGGAAUAGCUCUGGGAAACUGGAAUUAAUACCGUAUACGCCCUACGGGGGAAAGAUUUAUCGGGGAAGGAUUGGCCCGCGUUGGAUUAGCUAGUUGGUGGGGUAAAGGCCUACCAAGGCGACGAUCCAUAGCUGGUCUGAGAGGAUGAUCAGCCACAUUGGGACUGAGACACGGCCCAAACUCCUACGGGAGGCAGCAGUGGGGAAUAUUGGACAGUGGGCGCAAGCCUGAUCCAGCCAUGCCGCGUGAGUGAUGAAGGCCUUAGGGUUGUAAAGCUCUUUCACCGAUGAAGAUAAUGACGGUAGUCGGAGAAGAAGCCCCGGCUAACUUCGUGCCAGCCGCCGCAGUAA